rnacentral:rRNA from 1 species
AUUGAACGCUGGCGGCAGGCCUAACACAUGCAAGUCGAACGGUAACAGGAAGCAGCUUGCUGCUUUGCUGACGAGUGGCGGACGGGUGAGUAAUGUCUGGGAAACUGCCUGAUGGAGGGGGAUAACUACUGGAAACGGUAGCUAAUACCGCAUAACGUCGCAAGACCAAAGAGGGGGACCUUAGGGCAUCUUGCCAUCGGAUGUGCCCAGAUGGGAUUAGCUAGUAGGUGGGGUAACGGCUCACCUAGGCGACGAUCCCUAGCUGGUCUGAGAGGAUGACCAGCCACACUGGAACUGAGACACGGUCCAGACUCCUACGGGAGGCAGCAGUGGGGAAUAUUGCACAACGGGCGCAAGCCUGAUGCAGCCAUGCCGCGUGUAUGAAGAAGGCCUUCGGGUUGUAAAGUACUUUCAGCGGGGAGGAAGGGAGGAAAGUUAAUACCUUGGCUCAUUGACGUUACCCAAAGAAUAAGCACCGGCUAACUCCGUG